rnacentral:lncRNA from 1 species
GUCUGAUGGAGAAAGAAGCUAUGACCUAAUGAUAACAACUGUCAGAAAAUAUGUACACCAAAUACAGAUAAGACUGAUAGUUCUAAGAAGAGUUUUGAGGCCAAGUUCCACUGAUAACUCUCUUCCCAAAUACAAACUGGAGAUUGUAAAGGAUGCAUGGCUUACCAAAGCAAGCUCCAAGUGUAUACGCAAAGACAAACCACAAUGUCAACCAAUUGGACCUCACUUAAGGAACCUAGGGGAUCGAUUUGUAAAGCAAAGAAUGAACAGGACCCUAUUUCUGAGGCAGUUGGGCCCUGUUAAAUAAUAAAAUACAACAGUGGAGGACUGUGGAGAAACCUCUGUAGGUAAAGUGCUUGUCAGGUAAGCAUGAGGAGGCAAGUCCAUUUCCAGAACCCGCAUAAAAAGUGAGAUAUGGUAGCAUAUGUUGGCUUGUGCUUGUAACCAUAGAGCUGAGGCGAUACAAACAAAU